rnacentral:rRNA from 1 species
AUUGAACGCUGGCGGCAUGCCUUACACAUGCAAGUCGAACGGCAGCACGGGAGCAAUCCUGGUGGUGAGUGGCGAACGGGUGAGUAAAGUAUCGGAACGUGCCCAGUCGUGGGGGAUAACGUAGCGAAAGUUACGCUAAUACCGCAUACGAUCUAUGGAUGAAAGCGGGGGAUCGCAAGACCUCGCGCGAUUGGAGCGGCCGAUAUCAGAUUAGGUAGUUGGUGGGGUAAAGGCUCACCAAGCCGACGAUCUGUAGCUGGUCUGAGAGGACGAGCAGCCACACUGGAACGGAGACACGGUCCAGACUCCUACGGGAGGCAGCAGUGGGGAAUUUUGGACAAUGGGCGCAAGCCUGAUCCAGCAAUGCCGCGUGCAGGAUGAAGGCCUUCGGGUUGUAAACUGCUUUUGUACGGAACGAAACGGUGAGCUCUAAUACAGUUUGCUAAUGACGGUACCGUAAGAAUAAGCACCGGCUAACUACGUGCCAGCCGCCGCAGUAA